CAUGUAGGCGGUUUUGUCGCGUUUCGCGUGACAGCGGGUGGCUUAACUACCCGAGGGUGCGAAAGACGGCGAGACUUGAGGGCCAGAGAGGGACACGGAAUUCCGGGUGGAGUGGUGAAAUGCGUAGAGAUCCGGAGGAACACCGAAGGCGAAGGCAGUGUCCUGGCUGGUGACUGACGCUGAGGUGCGAAAGCCAGGGGAGCGAACGGGAUUAGAUACCCCGGUAGUCCUGGCCGUAAACGAUGACCACCAGGUGUGGGAGGUAUCGACCCCUUUCCGUGCCGGAGGAAACCCACUGAGUGGUCCGCCUGGGGAGUACGGUCGCAAGAUUAAA
rnacentral:rRNA from 1 species